CAUCUCUUCGGCUUCAUCCAUUACUGCAUGAGGAAUUAUUAUGGACAGGAAUGCAAACAAGCAGGCUGGAGUUGAGAGAUUCGUUGCAGGUACCCAAGGAGGCCAGUAGAGGGCGCUGGAUCCCCUGGAACUGGAAUUGUAAGCACUUGUGUCUCUCCUGGGGGCCAAACCGGAGUUCUCGGCAAGAGCAGUGUCUCCUCUCAUCUGGAUGGUGAUAAGGUCACCCAAUGGUCAUCAGAAGGCCCCAAGGGUUAUUAAGGCAAGGAGAAACUGUUACUUUUGUAGGCAUUCCUCAGUCAGAAAGUGACAUCUGGGGUCUUUGGCCUCCCCCAUUAAUCUGGGGUCCUGAGAACUCAAAAAUCCCAGAGCCGUUGAGACCAUGACACCGGGGAUGGGCAACACAGCUCAGCAGAACAUUAAUUAUUUCUUGUCUCUGACACCCCCAGGGCUGCUCCCUCCAGUCCUGAG
rnacentral:lncRNA from 1 species